GUGCAGGUUUGUUACAUAGGUAAACGUGUGUCAUGGUGGCUUGCCGCACAGAUCAUCCAAUCACCUAGGAAUUAAGCUCAGCAUUCAUUAGCUAUUCUUCCUGAUGGUCUUCCUCCUCCUACCCCCACCCUCCGAAAGGCCCCAGUGUGUGUUCCCCUGACAAUGUGUUCAUUUGUUCUCAUCAUUCAGCUCCCACGUAUAAGUGAGAACAUGUGUCAGGUUUGUCAAAGAUCAGAUGGUCGUAGGUGUUUGGUUUUAUUUCUGGGUUCUCUACUCUGUUCCAUUGGUCUAUGUGUCUAGUCUUGUACCAGGACUAUGCUGUUUUGGGUAAUGUAGCCUUGUAGAUAGUUUGAAGUCAGGCAGCAUGAUGCCUCCAGCUUUCUUCUUUUUGCUUAGGAUUGUCUUGGCUAUUCUGGCACCUUUCUGGUUCCAUAUUUUAAAAUAG
rnacentral:lncRNA from 10 species